AUGACCCAUGCCUCUUGGUUGACAUUCACUUCCAGGGGUGGCUGGGCUCUUUUGAGGCUGGUCUGUGGUUGACCUUCUGCCUUAAUGCUUCAGCCCUUGGUUCAUCCCACUUUGGCAGGAGGGCCAUGUUGUCUUUACCUCCUUAGAGUCCAGGCAUUGAGAACAUGGCAGGCAAAGCACCGGGCCCCUGUGACCAGAAGGGGAAGCACUACAGGCAUGUCAGCCUAUAAACCCUCCCUCUACCCUACUCUGCACAUCUCAUGAUCUGGUUGCAAUAGGUAGUUUGGGAGAUAGUUAUUUGAAGCCCUUGUGGUAUUUCAGUCAGGGCACAUGAGACUCAGAGCCCUCACUAUACUUGCCCAGGGGUGCCCAGGGGUGAGGACCAAGCCUAGAUAGGGUUAGGGUUAGGGUUAGGGUUAGGGUUAGGGUUAGCAUCCCACAGGCCAUGCUACCUGCUAUCCUUGGUAAGGAUCCCAGGGAUUUUGAAUUGAUUGCCAAAUAGGCAAAAGAACCAAUAGUCCAGACAACACAGGUCAUUUCAAAGACAGUAGAAGGAGACAGAGGCCAUCAGGGCAGGGGGCGGCCUACUCUGUAUGGGUGCCUCCACUCUCUCUAGGAUAAGAAUAUUCAUGAUGAAUUUUGAGAAUUUGGGGCUUUCCGUAGGAGUCAUGGCAUUGGGCAUUGUGAUGAACGUUAACCCACCUCUGAAUCGGUGAGAGGGGUAUUUCCACCCCGCCACCCCCCACCCCGAUGAUCUGUGAGAAACGGAAGGGAAUAGAGUGCUUGGUCCAGGGUCACGGCUGUGAGUGGCAGAGGCAGUACUGCAACUGAGGUUUCCUUCCCUUGUAAGCUGGUGCUGGUCCACUUGGCCACUUUGGAGGAGACCCAAAUGGAUGUUCCUUUUGGGGGGUCAUUCGCUGUAAGAGGCUUUGCUUGCCCCUUGCCAGGAUCACGUGGUUAGUAGAUAUGGCAGAAAGGUCAUUUGACCCCUCUUGGGAUCCCUGGACAGAUUUGUUUCCUUAGAAAGGGGACCUGGAACAGAUUCAUAAACUAGAAAUAAAUGGGGUAACAGGGUACAAAUUGGUAGAAGUCCGGUAGGGUGUGUUGUGUCAAAAUGUAACCACCAAUUUGUUUCUGCUGUGCCAGAAUGGGAACUCCUGGGGAAAUAUUUUAAAGUGUGUUUCAGCAAGUUGGGCAUUUGUUUUAUAAUUCCUUUGGAGUAUAUGCAAAACUUUGAUUAGGUGUGUGGGCAGUUUUAAAAACACCCAAGUACAUUUUGGGUUAUACAGCCACAAGGAUGCAUCUUUGGGUGAAUGAAGAAAGCAGUGCCUCUUUUGAGUAAAAUAACAGCAGGAAGAAAAAAAAAAAAGAAGAAGAAGCUGCAAUGGGAAGCACACCAUAAUCUCUUGAAAUUGAAAACAAUUAUGAUACAUAAAAAUAAUGAACCAUCUGAAAUUUUUAAGUGCUAUAAAAUAUUUCAGAUAGGCAAACAAAUUUUUCAUAUUAAAAAAAUUUAGAAAAUUAAGUAGGUAAAAAUUACCAAAAGAUAAACAAUAUCUUCAAAUCUCCUUCCAUGAUUUAUGUGAGUUUGUUUCUUUGUUUUUGCUAGGGGCCUACAGCAUGUGGAAGGAAGUUCUAGGGCCAGGGAUUGAAUCCAUGACCCAGCUGUGCCCUGCAACACAGCUGCAGCAACCCUGGUUCCUUAGCCCACUGCACCACACGGGUACUUCCUUAUUUGCAUUUUUGAAAUGGAAAAUCACGUAGAGGUACAAUUAGUGAGCGUUAUUAUGUGCCUGACACUUUUCUUAUUUUAAAUCCCUGCUUGUAUCCUCCUUACAACUCUGAGCAGUGAAGGUCUGUUAUUGGCUGUGGGAGCUGAGGCUUAGAGAGGUGAGAUUACUUGCUGGGGCCACACAGCUCUUUACUAGAGAAUGAACCCAGUCUGAUUCCAGAAUUAAAGCGCUGGACUCCAGGGUUUUAUUGCUUUUUCUUUAAGGUUUUUGUUUGAAUUUCUUUUAUUAAUCAUUUCAGCAUACCUUGAGAUCCCUUCCUUUGAAGGGCUUUUAACUCAAAUUGAGGUCUCUCUUCAUUGCAAUGAUGGUUGAGCCUCCAUGUAAUUGUUCUGCUAUAAACAGAUUAACAUGCUUAUGUCCUAGUGCCUGCUGAAGGCAACAUAAAGAUACACUCAUGCAUUCAUUCAUUCAUUGACUUGUUCAUUUGUUCUCUUGGUAAGUAUUACACUGUCAGGUAGGUUCAAGGUACUAUUUCCCUCAGUGGGUGUAUAGCAGUGGACAGAACCAUUCCCUGGUCUUAUGAGGCUUUCAUUCUAGUAGAGAAGUCAGAAACCAAAUAGGUAUACAAUGUGUCUUAACGGUGGUGAGUGGUAUAGAGAAAGUAAAUCAGGGUCAGGAAAUGGUGAGUGUAAGUGAGGGAUGUGCAUUUUUUACAUUAAAGAAGAAAAGAACAGUAUGACCUGAAGCUGGGCAUCAGGAAAUAUGGGGGAAGAGCAUUCCAGGAAGAGAACAGCAAGUGCAAAGGCCCUGUGGUGAGAGCCUCUUCAUUAAAAAAAAAAAAAAAAAAAAAA
rnacentral:lncRNA from 1 species